rfam:Brachypodium distachyon strain Bd21 chromosome 3, whole genome shotgun sequence.
AAAGUACUCCCUCCGUUGCAUAAUUCUUGUCAAAAUAUUAUAUGAAUCUAGACACUUAUUAGAAAUAAAUACAUCCAUUUUUAGACAAAAUUGAGACAAGAAUUAUGAAACGGAGAGAGUAAUUC